UUCUUGCGGUCAAGCUACGGCCUGCCACCGAACCCGAGCCUUUUUGCCUUUUCUUGCGAUUUCCCCAUCUUCCCGAUCCAUCGUCGACAGUCGAUUCUCUUUCUCCUCCGAUCAUGCGAGCGCAAGGGAUGCAGAUCCAUCGUCGGAAACCUGAUUCUCUUUCUCCUCCGGCCACGUGAGUGUAAGGGAUGUUGAUUCAUCACCACCGAAGCAAUUCGAUCACGGCGUUGUUUCUUCUUCCACUCCUCCUGAUCCCCUCGCCUUGUUGAUCACCGACAUCUGUAGGCUGCUGAUACCGUGGGAGGCCGAUGCUGAGCCACAGCACCGUCGGCUUCGAGCAACCCAUCGCCGGUCAAAAGGAAGAGGAUCUGAACCCUAGAUUCGAUCCCUCAUUGCCUCACCUGGGUGCUGUGGUUUCGAGCAAUGGAGCUUCUGUUCCAGCUGAGAUUUUGUUGCCAUCUACACUGUCAUCAGCCACUUGUUACAAGAAAUGUUACUAGGCCGGUGGACCAUUGGAGAAGGGGUUAUUGACAUGGAAUUAAGGGUUGAUAUCAACAGGGCAAAGUGUGGCUAAGGGAUAGACUUCUGAUCGCUGUUUGCACAUCAGGGAUUUUAUUUCGAGGCGAGCGUCUCGACAUGGGAUUGGAUUGUUUGACGCGGUCGACAG